AUUGAACGCUGGCGGAAUGCUUUACACAUGCAAGUCGAACGGCAGCACGGGAGCUUGCUCCUGGUGGCGAGUGGCGAACGGGUGAGUAAUAUAUCGGAACGUACCUAGUAAUGGGGGAUAACUAUCCGAAAGGAUAGCUAAUACCGCAUACGCCCUGAGGGGGAAAGCGGGGGAUCUUCGGACCUCGCGUUAUUAGAGCGGCCGAUAUCUGAUUAGCUAGUUGGUGGGUAAAGCCCACCAAGGCGACGAUCAGUAGCUGGUCUGAGAGGACGACCAGCCACACUGGAACUGAGACACGGUCCAGACUCCUACGGGAGGCAG
rnacentral:rRNA from 1 species